GGGGUUGUGGCUCAGCGGUAGAGCACUCGCCUAGGAAGUGUGAGGCCCUGGGUUCGAUCCUCAGCACCACA
rnacentral:tRNA from 1 species